UGAGCUAUAGUACACGUAUGGUAUAUGUCCCCUUUUCUGACAUAGACAUUUUUUCUGUCUUGUAACACUUCAUUCACCCAGUACGUCAUGGAACAUUUACAGAAAGGUGGAGUAAAGAUGUCCUCCAGUGACCUCAGUUAUGGAUCUGGUGACGCACACCAUCUCCCUGAAGUGAGGAUUGUGCUCUUGGGCUGCAGGGAAGCUGGCAAAAGCAGAGCAUAAGACAAAGAAAAAGACAAAGGAAAAGAAGGAAAAGGAAAUAAAGGUGGCAGAUUCUGCAGUAUUGCAGGUCAACUGAUUUUGAAGGUGGAAAUAUCACAACUUCUUUUAUCCAAGAUGGAGACCAGCCCUUGUAUCCUGGAGCCAAACUUUCAAAAGGUGAAAGUCUAACUGCACUUCUGGGCUACAUACUACGCCACCAUCUGACCAAGGAUUUACUGCAUUUGUUUCUGAUGCUUCUUCCUGACAAUAGUUCACCCUC